rnacentral:rRNA from 1 species
AGUAGCCAAGCCCGGAAGGGAUAAACGCUGAAGGCAUCUAAGCGUGAAGCCCCCCUUAAGAUGAGAUAUCCCAUUCGUUAAGAAGUAAACCCCCUUGAAGACGACGAGGUAGAUAGGGCAGAGGUGGAAGUGUGGCAACACAUGGAGCUGACUGUUACUAAUCGGGUGAGGGCUUGACCAAGAA